rnacentral:rRNA from 1 species
AGUGAACGCUGGCGGUAGGCCUAACACAUGCAAGUCGAACGGCAGCACAGUAAGAGCUUGCUCUUACGGUUGGCGAGUGGCGGACGGGUGAGGAAUACAUCGGAAUCUACUUUUUCGUGGGGGAUAACGUAGGGAAACUUACGCUAAUACCGCAUACGACCUACGGGUGAAAGCAGGGGAUCUUCGGACCUUGCGCGACUGAAUUAGCCGAUGUCGCAUUAGCUAGUUGGCGGGGUAAAGGCCCACCAAGGCGACGAUCCGUAGCUGGUCUGAGAGGAUGAUCAGCCACACUGGAACUGAGACACGGUCCAGACUCCUACGGGAGGCAGCAGUGGGGAAUAUUGGACAAUGGGCGCAAGCCUGAUCCAGCCAUACCGCGUGAGUGAAGAAGGCCUUCGGGUUGUAAAGCCCUUUUGUUGGGAAAGAAAAGCAGCAGGUUAAUACCCCGCUGUCCUGACGGUACCCAAACAAUAAGCACCGGCUAACUUCGUG